UACGGAGGGUGCGAGCGUUGUCCGGAAUCACUGGGCGUAAAGGGCGCGUAGGCGGCUUGAUAAGUAGGGGGUGAAAUCCUGCGGCUUAACCGCAGGGCUGCCUUCUAAACUGUCAGGCUCGAGCACAGUAGAGGCAGGUGGAAUUCCCGGUGUAGCGGUGGAAUGCGUAGAGAUCGGGAAGAACAUCAGUGGCGAAGGCGGCCUGCUGGGCUGGUUGCUGGA
rnacentral:rRNA from 1 species